CUACCUUCCGGCGGGGGACAACAGUCCGAAAGGAUUGCUAAUACCGCGUACGUCAGCGAGACCUACGGGUCUUGUUGGGAAAGAUGGCCUCUCUUCAGAAGCUGUCACCGGAAGAUGAGCCCGCGGCCCAUCAGCUAGUUGGUGAGGUAACGGCUCACCAAGGCUUAGACGGGUAGCUGGUCUGAGAGGAUGAUCAGCCACACUGGGACUGCGACACGGCCCAG
rnacentral:rRNA from 1 species